rnacentral:rRNA from 1 species
AGGGGGUUUGAUCCUGGGCUCAGAACGAACGCUGGCGGCGUGCUUAAGACAUGCAAGUCGUGCGAGAAAGCCACCUUCGGGUGACAAGUAAAGCGGCGCACGGGUGAGUAACGCGUGGGUAAUCUACCUCCGGGUCUGGAAUAACUCCGGGAAACUGGAGCUAAUACCGGCUAAGACCACGAUGUCUUCGGACUUUGCGGUAAAAGGUGGCCUCUUCAUGAAAGCUACCGCCCGUUGAUGAGCCUGCGUCCCAUUAGUUUGUUGGUGAGGUAACGGCUCACCAAGGCUUCGAUGGGUAGCUGGUCUGAGAGGAUGAUCAGCCACACUGGAACUGAGACACGGUCCAGACUCCUACGGGAGGCAGCAGUCGGGAAUUUUGGGCAAUGGGCAAAAGCCUGACCCAGCAACGCCGCGUGAGGGAUGAAGGCCUUCGGGUCGUAAACCUCUGUCGGGAGGGAAGAAUGGUGCGAGACGAACAAUCUCGUACUUUGACGGUACCUCCAAAGGAAGCGCCGGCUAACUCCGUGCCAGCAGCCGCGGUAAUACGGAGGGCGCAAGCGUUGUUCGGAAUCAUUGGGCGUAAAGCGAGUGUAGGUGGUUCAGCAAGUCGGGUGUGAAAUCCCAGGGCUCAACCCUGGAACUGCAUUCGAAACUUCUGGACUAGAGUCCCGGAGAGGAUGGCGGAAUUCCCGGGUGUAGAGGUGAAAUUCGUAGAUAUCGGGAGGAACACCAGUGGCGAAGGCGGCCAUCUGGACGGUGACUGACACUGAGACUCGAAAGCGUGGGUAGCGA